UACUCUACGGAGGCAGCAGUGCGAAUAUUGGACAAUGGGCGCAACCAUGAUCCAGUCAUGCCGCGUGUGUGAAGAAGGCCCUAGGGUGUAAAGCACUUCAGUAGGAGGAAGGCUACGGGUAAUACCUGGAGUACUGACGUACUACAGAUAGACCGUAC
rnacentral:rRNA from 1 species